AGCUUUGUGCAGUGGCAGUAUCGUAGCCAAUGAGGUUUAUUCGAGGCGCGAUUAUUGCUAAUUGAAAAAUUAUUCAUUCUAAUCAUUGGUACAUUUUAGGUAUACAAUAUAAUGACAUUCAUCAUUGGAAAUUUGCACCUUUACAUA
ensembl:snRNA U4 U4 spliceosomal RNA